rnacentral:rRNA from 1 species
ACAUGCAAGUCGAGCGGAAACGAUCCUAGCUUGCUAGGAGGCGUCGAGCGGCGGACGGGUGAGUAAUGCAUAGGAAUCUGCCCGGUAGUGGGGGAUAACUUGAGGAAACUCAAGCUAAUACCGCAUACGCCCCAAGGGGGAAAGCAGGGGAUCUUCGGACCUUGCGCUAUCGGAUGAGCCUAUGUCGGAUUAGCUAGUUGGUGAGGUAAUGGCUCACCAAGGCCGCGAUCCGUAGCUGGUCUGAGAGGAUGAUCAGCCACAUCGGGACUGAGACACGGCCCGAACUCCUACGGGAGGCAGCAGUGGGGAAUAUUGGACAAUGGGCGAAAGCCUGAUCCAGCCAUGCCGCGUGUGUGAAGAAGGCCCUCGGGUUGUAAAGCACUUUCAGCGAGGAAGAACGCCUGUGGGUUAAUACCCCGCAGGAAGGACAUCACUCGCAGAAGAAGCACCGGCUAACUCCGUGCCAGCAGCCGCGGUAAUACGGAGGGUGCAAGCGUUAAUCGGAAUUACUGGGCGUAAAGCGCGCGUAGGCGGCUUGAUAAGCCGGUUGUGAAAGCCCCGGGCUCAACCUGGGAACGGCAUCCGGAACUGUCAGGCUAGAGUGCAGGAGAGGAAGGUAGAAUUCCCGGUGUAGCGGUGAAAUGCGUAGAGAUCGGGAGGAAUACCAGUGGCGAAGGCGGCCUUCUGGACUGACACUGACGCUGAGGUGCGAAAGCGUGGGUAGCAAACAGGAUUAGAUACCCUGGUAGUCCACGCCGUAAACGAUGUCGACUAGCCGUUGGGGUCCUCGAGACCUUUGUGGCGCAGUUAACGCGAUAAGUCGACCGCCUGGGGAGUACGGCCGCAAGGUUAAAACUCAAAUGAAUUGACGGGGGCCCGCACAAGCGGUGGAGCAUGUGGUUUAAUUCGAUGCAACGCGAAGAACCUUACCUACUCUUGACAUCGAGCGAACUUUCCAGAGAUGGAUUGGUGCCUUCGGGAACGCUCAGACAGGUGCUGCAUGGCCGUCGUCAGCCCGGGUUGGGAAAUGUUG